rnacentral:tRNA from 1 species
GGGGAUAUAGCUCAGUUGGUAGAGCGCUUGCAUGGCAUGCAAGAGGUCGUCGGUUCGACCCCGAUUAUCUCCACCA